UACGAAGGGGGCUAGCGUUGCUCGGAAUUACUGGGCGUAAAGGGCGCGUAGGCGGACAGUUUAGUCAGAGGUGAAAGCCCAGGGCUCAACCUUGGAAUUGCCUUUGAUACUGGCUGUCUUGAGUUCGGGAGAGGUGAGUGGAAUGCCGAGUGUAGAGGUGAAAUUCGUAGAUAUUGGGAAGAACACCGGUGGCGAAGGCGGCUCUCUGGACCACAACUGACGCUGAGGCGCGAAAGCGUGGGGAGCAAACAGG
rnacentral:rRNA from 1 species